CUAAGGCACUACGCCUGGUCCUAUUCUCACAAGUGGCAACUCUCCCUGUUCUGCCAGGUUCCAGCUUCUCCUCCAGGAAGCCUUUCCUGAAUACCCAGGACCCAUCAUGAAUUUGGUGUUCACUCUCUUUGCCUCGACCUCACUGUCAAAUCACAGCACAGACCUGGACAGCCCUGUGUGUGGUCCAGGGCUCAGUGGAUCAAAAAUCUUUCCUUCAGUAUGACAGUAACAGCAACAAGGUCAAGCCUUGGGGUUUCCUGGGGGAGACAGCCAAUGCCACCAAAGCAUGGACGGAAUUGACCCAGACGCUCAGGGAAGUGGGGCAAGAGCUCAGGAUGAUCCUGCCUGUCAUCACGCCGGAGAACAACAGGAGCAAGGUACCACCAUUAAAGUCACCAGACACUACCAGGCUUCAUCAAUUCUACUUAGUUGCAUGGAUCAUCCCAACCAUCUUCAUCCGCUCAGUUCUAAUUAC